UUCCGGUUGAUCCUGCCGGCGGGCACCGCUAUCGGUAUGCGAUUAAGGCAUGCGAGUCGAGAGGUGCAAGACCUCGGCUGACGGCUGAGUAACACGCGGAUAACCUGCCCUGAAGUGGAGGAUAAUCUCGGGAAACUGAGGAUAAUACUCCAUAGGUGUGGUAUGCUGGAAUGCUUCCACGCUUAAAGCUCCGGCGCUUCANGAUGGGUCUGCGGCCUAUCAGGCUGUAGUGGGUGUAACGGAC
rnacentral:rRNA from 1 species